UGAAAACAAAGUUGAGAACAAAGCUUGUGGUGCUGGCUGCAGAUCAUUUCAUUAAGGAUUGAAAUGGACUUUGGAAACCCAUGUAGAAUGUCUUGGCCAGAGAAGUUCCCUCCUUCUUCUGAGCAGGUUUGCUUGAUGCUGUUCCUGUAGUUCUUUUCCUACCACUUCUCAAGAUGCCAAGGCUACAUACAAGAAGAGGGUUGUAAUCCUGGGGAGACACAUGGCCUGCUGCCCAGAAUCACACAAGUCUGACACUGCAUGGAAAGAGAGGGUGCUGAAAAACCUGAAGUGUCAUUGUUAAAAGCUGGAGUCUCUCAUGUCUUUACGUGGUUUUGAGGAAACGGCUGUGGAUGAGCCGGUUAUACGAACCUGUCCCCCCAACCUCAUAAGCU